CACGUAGGGUGCGAGCGUUGUCCGGAAUUAUUGGGCGUAAAGAGCUCGUAGGCGGUGUGUCGCGUCGGCCGUGAAAACCUGUGGCUUAACUAUGGGCUUGCGGUCGAUACGGGCAUCACUGGAGUUCGGCAGGGGAGACUGGAAUUCCUGGUGUAGCGGUGAAAUGCGCAGAUAUCAGGAGGAACACCGGUGGCGAAGGCGGGUCUCUGGGCCGAUACUGACGCUGAGGAACGAAAGCGUGGGGAGCGAACAGG
rnacentral:rRNA from 1 species